AAACUGGGUUUAAUACCGUAUACGCCCUUCGGGGGAAAGAAUUUCGGUGAGGGAUCGGCCCGCGUUAGAUUAGUUAGUUGGUGGGGUAAUGGCCUACCAAGACUACGAUCUAUAGCUGGUUUGAGAGGAUGAUCAGCAACACUGGGACUGAGACACGGCCCAGACUCCUACGGGAGGCAGCAGUGGGGAAUCUUAGACAAUGGGGGCAACCCUGAUCUAGCGAUGCCGCGUGAGUGAUGAAGGCCUUAGGGUCGUAAAGCUCUUUCGCCUGUGAUGAUAAUGACAGUAGCAGGUAAAGAAACCCCGGCUAACUCCGUGCCAGCAGCCGCGGUAAUACGGAGGGGGUUAGCGUUGUUCGGAAUUACUGGGCGUAAAGCGCACGUAGGCGGAUUAGUCAGUCAGAGGUGAAAUCCCAGGGCUCAACCCUGGAACUGCCUUUGAUACUGCUAGUCUUGAGUUCGAGAGAGGUAAGUGGAAUUCCGAGUGUAGAGGUGAAAUUCGUAGAUAUUCGGAGGAACACCAGUGGCGAAGGCGGCUUACUGGCUCGAUACUGACGCUGAGGUGCGAAAGUGUGGGGAGCAAACAGGAUUAGAUACCCUGGUAGUCCACACCGUAAACGAUGAAUGCCAGUCGUCGGGUAGCAUGCUAUUCGGUGACACACCUAACGGAUUAAGCAUUCCGCCUGGGGAGUACGGUCGCAAGAUUAAAACUCA
rnacentral:rRNA from 1 species